GUGGCCUGUGGAAUAAGAGGGCACAGACCUGGGGCCUGGAGGACAGACGGCAGAACUGCGGGGAUUCAGCCCUGGCUGCCUGUGAAGGUGUUCAUAUCAAGCACACGUGAUUUUUAUAAGUGGAUAUGGAUAAUGAGACAAAGGAAAAAUGAUUGGUAAACACUGCGUGCAGGACUCUGGGGACCCAGAGCAAACUCCAGUUGCAAAACCACCACCUGCACCUGUGCACUGGCAACAAAUUGACAGCCCCAGCCCUUCUGUGAAGAUCAGGAAGAUUCUCAGGAAUGGUUGCCCCUUGGACUGGUGGAGGAGCAGGAAUUCUGGGAAGAGAACCGUUCCAGGAGCCUGGCCUGCCCUUGAGAUACAGUGAGUUUUCCUCUGGAGGUCUUGUCAUGUCUGGAAAUAUUGAAGCCAUCUUGCCAUCACCUUGAGAAGGAGUUGAAGCCUGAGGAUGGCAGAGCAGAAAGACGCUCUUAGGAGGAAAAUACCUAAGAAGAGGUGAUUAAUCACUGUCUGAAAAGUGCUUUGAGAUCCUCUGAAGAAAGGAAACUGCAUCAGACAUGAACAGCGCCAAGCUGAGCCCUGGGCUUUCUGCUCCUGUGUUCUUUCACCGUCUCAUGCUGCCCGUCUCCUGACCAGGAUAGCCUUUAAAAUUGUAUCAGCUUCCGGCCCCACAAAAUCUGGAUGUGCUCCUGGUCCCAACACAGUUGGUUGACAAACACCCUCCUGUCCCCAAUCCUGCCCGGCCACCCGCGCUUCUCCUAUAAGGCUCUGAAACCACACUCACUCUCAGAUGAAGACUAACCUUGCAGUUAAAGCCCAGGUAGCUCUAUUUCAUGGCACCUCCCUGCCUUGGUCAGCCUAGUUCUCUAGGCCCUUGAGGUGCCCCAAGAAGCCAGACCAGAGUUGUUUCCUCUCUCUGGCUUUUUCCAUUUCUAAUUUGAAUGAAACACCACUACUGUUCACCGCGUGUUUAUCAAAAGGGUGGCAAGAACUGAAGUUCCCAGAUCAUUCUCUAAGCCACUCGAUCUUCUUGGAAGCAAGCAGCCUCUAAACAGUUCUUAUCUUUUUAAAAUCACCUGGGUAUUC